UGGGGAAUCAUGGUCAAUGGGCGAAAGCCUGAACCUGCGACGCCGCGUGAGUGAUGAAGGUCGUAAGAUCGUAAAACUCUUUUCAGGGAUCUUAAAGCCUGUCUGUCAUCAACAGGCAGGUCUGACUCUCCCUGGAAGAAGCCCCAGCCAACUACGUGCCAGCAGCUGCGGUAAUACGUAGGGGGCGAGCGUUAUUCGGAAUUACUGGGUGUAAAGGGUAUGUAGGCGGCCCUUCAAGUCGCGUGUCAAAGUCCAGUGCUCAACGCUGGGGGUGCGCGCGAUACUGACGGGCUUGAGGGCUGGAGAGGGGAGCGGAAUUUCCGGUGUAGUGGUAAAAUACGUAGAGAUCGGGAGGAACACCAGCGGCGCAGGCGGCUCACUAGACAGUUUCUGACGCUAAGAUACGAAAGCGUGGGGAGCAAACA
rnacentral:rRNA from 1 species